ensembl:lncRNA
CCCACAUACACACAGUCUAACACGUGUAGCUGUGUGUGUCAGUCAUGUCUUUCCAGACCCCCCCCUCCCCACAUACACACAGUCUAACACGUCUAUGUGUGUCAGUCAUGUCUUUCCAGACCCCCCCCCCCCCCACAUACACACAGUCUAACACGUGUAGCUGUGUGUCAGUCAUGUCUUUCCAGACCCCCCCCCUCCCCACAUACACACAGUCUAACACGUGUAGCUAUGUGUGUCAGUCAUGUCUUUCCAGACCCCCC